CGCAGAACCGCGGCGCUGGGACUGGCGCUAACCACCCGCUAGGCCGCUGUUAGGAGACUUCGGAGGAAGAGGAGAUUAGGACACAGACACACACAGAGGGAGGACCAAGCGAGGACACAGGGAGAAGACGGCUGUCUACGAGCCGAGGAGAGAUACUUCAGAGGAAGCCAGCCCUGACGACACCUUGAUCUUGGCCUGCCAGCCUCCGGAACUGUAAGAAAAUCCAUUUCUGUUGUUUGCCCAGCCUGUGGUACUUCGUGAUGGCAGCCCCAGCAGAUUCCCACACCCGCUCUCCCAGGCCUAGUAUAUAUCAGGCCCCCGGCCAUCCAGACGCCCACGGAGCUGAGCUUUCAAAGAGCCGCGGACAGCAGCCAUCCUCUCACUGUGAUCACCAAGGUUGCCCAGGGGCCCCUGAGACUGCGCUGACCCGAUAAUGGCAAUCAAUUCCUCAGAUGUGGGAGAGAAGCCACGUGGAGAGAGAUCAUGGUUCUUUGGUGCUUCGGAUAAAUGAAUGAUGUUCUCUGGGCUUAGAGCAGCACCGUCAAUAGAACUUGCCGGUGAUAUUCCGUAUCUCUGUGGCGUGGCAAUUCACUAACUCAGGAAGUUGCUAUUUAUUUUACACACUUAUUUUUCAAAAGCAUUUCCUGCUCUACAUAAAAAAGGCUUGUCGGGGCUUCCCUGGUGGCGCAGUGGUUGAGAGUCUGCCUGCCAAUGCAGGGGACACGGGUUCGAGCCCUGGUCUGGGAAGAUCCCACAUGCCGCGGAGCGACUAAGCCUGUGAGCCACAAUUGCUGAGCCUGCGCGUCUGGAGCCUGUGCUCCGCAACGGGAGAGGCCACGAUAGUGAGAGGCCCGCGCACCGCGAUGAAGAGUGGCCCCCACUUGCCGCAACUAGAGAAAGCCCUCACACAGAAACGAAGACCCAACACAGCCAUAAAUAAAU